rnacentral:rRNA from 1 species
ACUUAAAUUGAAGAGUUUGAUCAUGGCUCAGAUUGAACGCUGGCGGCAGGCCUAACACAUGCAAGUCGAGCGGUAGCACAGAGAGCUUGCUCUCGGGUGACGAGCGGCGGACGGGUGAGUAAUGUCUGGGAAACUGCCUGAUGGAGGGGGAUAACUACUGGAAACGGUAGCUAAUACCGCAUAACGUCGCAAGACCAAAGUGGGGGACCUUCGGGCCUCAUGCCAUCAGAUGUGCCCAGAUGGGAUUAGCUAGUAGGUGGGGUAACGGCUCACCUAGGCGACGAUCCCUAGCUGGUCUGAGAGGAUGACCAGCCACACUGGAACUGAGACACGGUCCAGACUCCUACGGGAGGCAGCAGUGGGGAAUAUUGCACAAUGGGCGCAAGCCUGAUGCAGCCAUGCCGCGUGUGUGAAGAAGGCCUUCGGGUUGUAAAGCACUUUCAGCGGGGAGGAAGGCGUUAAGGUUAAUAACCUCAUCGAUUGACGUUACCCGCAGAAGAAGCACCGGCUAACUCCGUGCCAGCAGCCGCGGUAAUACGGAGGGUGCAAGCGUUAAUCGGAAUUACUGGGCGUAAAGCGCACGCAGGCGGUCUGUCAAGUCGGAUGUGAAAUCCCCGGGCUCAACCUGGGAACUGCAUUCGAAACUGGCAGGCUAGAGUCUUGUAGAGGGGGGUAGAAUUCCAGGUGUAGCGGUGAAAUGCGUAGAGAUCUGGAGGAAUACCGGUGGCGAAG